rnacentral:rRNA from 1 species
UUAAGUUAGUAAGGGCGCACGGUGGAUGCCUUGGCACUAGGAGCCGAAGAAGGACGUGACAAACGACGAAAUGCCUCGGGGAGCUGUAAGUAAGCACUUGAUCCGGGGAUGUCCGAAUGGGGGAACCCAACAGGUUGAUGCCUGUUACCCAUUUCUGUUAAGGGAAUGAGGAGGAAGACGCAGUGAACUGAAACAUCUAAGUAGCUGCAGGAAGAGAAAGCAAAAGCGAUUGCCUUAGUAGCGGCGAGCGAAGAGGCAGGAGGGCAAACCGAAGAGUUUACUCUUCGGGGUUGUAGGACUGCAAUGUGGACUCAGAAUUUAUAGAAGAAUGACUUGGGAAAGUCAGCCAAAGAGAGUAAGAGCCUCGUAUUUUAAAUAGAUUCUGUACCUAGCAGUAUCCUGAGUACGGCGGGACACGUGAAAUCCCGUCGGAAUCUGGGAGGACCAUCUCCCAACCCUAAAUACUCCCUAGUGACCGAUAGUGAACCAGUACCGUGAGGGAAAGGUGAAAAGCACCCCGGGAGGGGAGUGAAAUAGAACCUGAAACCGUGUGCCUACAACAAGUUCGAGCCCGUUAAUGGGUGAGAGCGUGCCUUUUGUAGAAUGAACCGGCGAGUUACGUUAUGAUGCGAGGUUAAGUUGAAGAGACGGAGCCGCAGGGAAACCGAGUCUGAAUAGGGCGCCUUAGUAUCAUGUCGUAGACCCGAAACCAUGUGACCUACCCAUGAGCAGGUUGAAGGUGCGGUAAGACGCACUGGAGGACCGAACCAGGGCACGUUGAAAAGUGCUUGGAUGACUUGUGGGUAGCGGAGAAAUUCCAAACGAACUUGGAGAUAGCUGGUUCUCUCCGAAAUAGCUUUAGGGCUAGCGUCGACAUAAAGAUUCUUGGAGGUAGAGCACUGUUUGGGUGAGGGGUCCAUCCCGGAUUACCAAUCUCAGAUAAACUCCGAAUGCCAAUGAAUUAUGGUCGGCAGUCAGACUGCGAGUGCUAAGAUCCGUAGUCGAAAGGGAAACAGCCCAGACCACCAGCUAAGGUCCCAAAAUAAUUGUUAAGUGGAAAAGGAUGUGGGGUUGCACAGACAACUAGGAUGUUAGCUUAGAAGCAGCUAUUCAUUCAAAGAGUGCGUAAUAGCUCACUAGUCGAGUGACCCUGCGCCGAAAAUGUACCGGGGCUAAAACAAUUUACCGAAGCUGUGGAUACCUUUAUAGGUAUGGUAGGAGAGCGUUCUAUGUGUGGAGAAGGUGUACCGUGAGGAGCGCUGGAACGCAUAGAAGUGAGAAUGCCGGUAUGAGUAGCGCAAGACAGGUGAGAAUCCUGUCCACCGUAAGACUAAGGUUUCCAGGGGAAGGCUCGUCCGCCCUGGGUUAGUCGGGACCUAAGGAGAGACCGAAAGGUGUAUCCGAUGGCCAACAGGUUGAGAUUCCUGUACUAGAGUAUGAAGUGAUGGAGGGACGCAGUAGGCUAACUCGUGCGUACGAAUGGAUGUACGUCUAAGCAGUGAGGCGUGGUAUGAGUCAAAUGCUUAUACCUCUAACGUUGAGCUGUGAUGGGGAGCGAAGUUUAGUAGCGAGUGAGUGAUGUCACACUGCCAAGAAAAGCUUCUAGCGUUGUAUCAUACUCUACCCGUACCGCAAACCGACACAGGUAGUCGAGGCGAGUAGCCUCAGGUGAGCGAGAGAACUCUCGUUAAGGAACUCGGCAAAAUGACCCCGUAACUUCGGGAGAAGGGGUGCUGACUUUAUGUCAGCCGCAGUGAAUAGGCCCAAGCAACUGUUUAUCAAAAACACAGCUCUCUGCUAAAUCGUAAGAUGAUGUAUAGGGGGUGACGCCUGCCCGGUGCUGGAAGGUUAAGAGGAGUGCUUAGCGGUAACGCGAAGGUAUGAAUUGAAGCCCCAGUAAACGGCGGCCGUAACUAUAACGGUCCUAAGGUAGCGAAAUUCCUUGUCGGGUAAGUUCCGACCCGCACGAAAGGCGUAAUGAUUUGGGCACUGUCUCAACGAGAGACUCGGUGAAAUUUUAGUACCUGUGAAGAUGCAGGUUACCCGCGACAGGACGGAAAGACCCCAUGGAGCUUUACUGCAGUUUGAUAUUGAGUGUCUGUGCCACAUGUACAGGAUAGGUAGGAGCCUAUGAGAUCGGGACGCCAGUUUCGAUGGAGGCGUUGUUGGGAUACUACCCUUGUGUUAUGGCCACUCUAACCCGGUAGGUUUAUCAUCUACGGAGACAGUGUCUGACGGGCAGUUUGACUGGGGCGGUCGCCUCCUAAAAGGUAACGGAGGCGCCCAAAGGUUCCC